UACGUAGGGUGCGAGCGUUGCCCGGAUUUCUUGGGCGUAAAGGGCGCGUAGGCGGCUCGGCACGUCCGUUGUGAAAUCGCCCGGCUCAACUGGGCGGGGUCAGCGGAUACGGUCGAGCUUGAGCAAGCUAGGGGGUAAUGGAAUUCCCGGUGUAGUGGUGGAAUGCGUAGAUAUCGGGAGGAACACCAGUGGCGAAGGCGGUUACCUGGGGCUUUGCUGACGCUGAUGCGCGAAAGCGUGGGGAGCGAUCCGG
rnacentral:rRNA from 1 species